UACGGAGGAUGCGAGCGUUAUCCGGAUUUAUUGGGUUUAAAGGGUGCGUAGGCGGCGAGUUAAGUCAGCGGUAAAAGCCCGGGGCUCAACCCCGGCCCGCCGUUGAAACUGGCUGGCUUGAGUUGGGGAAAGGCAGGCGGAAUGCGCGGUGUAGCGGUGAAAUGCAUAGAUAUCGCGCAGAACCCCGAUUGCGAAGGCAGCAUACCGGCGCCCUACUGGCGCUGAGGCACGAAAGCGUGGGUAUCGAACAGG
rnacentral:rRNA from 1 species